CGGGAACUUUUUUGACUAUAUAGCAAUUUAUCAAGUAAAGAUAAUCUGCUAUUUGAUGCAUCUGGCAAUUCUUCAUUUUAAUCUCUUUCUCUGUUUCUAAACACAAAUGCAUAAAAACUAUAAUUUAUUUCGUGCCAAUGCACAAGUACGCAAUCCAAAAUCUUGAAACCAACCUAUGUAAAGUUUUAAAGCUUGCUUGUGGUCUUCACCAGAGGGAGGCAGAAAUCUAGGAGCGUUACGGUAAGGAAGGGGCGUUCCAGUGAGGGUGACAUCAGUCAGAGUAAUCGGAAACGCCGAAGUGCCCGCUGGGAAGAAAGUCUGUUAUUUAAGCACGAAACUGAGGAAGAACUUUCUUUUUGGUCGUGGAUGCGCGCGUGCUUGAUUUGUGUAGUCAUUAUGUGUGCGCACACGUGAACGAUUACAUUGUGUUUAAGUUAUUGAGGGUUUUUUAAUGUACGCACGUGUAUUUUUCAUGGAAACUGCUAGAAUUUUUUUCCAUAAAAUAGCCUACGGUAAUGCUCUUUGUAGCAUCUUGUAUCGAGUAAUUUAAGAGUUUUGUAAUUUGGAUUUACUGCACUCUUCCGCUAGUUUGUACUCUCGAGUCUUCAUUUGCUCGUACACACAGUCGCGUUGCGUUCCGUAUACUGUACGUAGUUGAAUUGAGUCGAUGAGUUACAGUUUUACAAAGAUGGAGGCGUCUGGACACGUGCGACCAAGGUCUGCAGCCUAGUUCUGUCUGUCUUCUUUAAAAUGCGCUAGAGUUUGGGUCAAUAGUUUUGAAAUACCUUGUGUUGUAUGUUUAUACAGUUGCAUUUUCUUUAAGCACGUUUUGUGAUGUAUUCGUGUUGCAGUUGGACUUUUUGUAAUUUAACCGGUUUUAGUGUUUGUAAAUUUGUCGUAAUUAGUCAUUUGUUUAGGAGACCGUUGGAAUAGCGUAAAACGGGGUAGGCUUAGGGGUCUUUUAAGUGGUUCAGGAUUUUGGACCCCUCUGGUCAUUGCUCUCUUUUGUACGUGGGUACCUUUGAAAAGUGGAGUUUCGCGCAAGUCCUACAUGCCUUGUUUCCUAUUGAUAUGGGGUAUUAUCGUAUAUGAUAGAUGUUGAGGGUCUUGUCGCUAUUAAUUGGGUGUAUUGGGAGUUAGAGAGUAGGGGAUGGGCGCCAGAGAUCAGAGGUUAAGAUUUGAAGCCCCUGUGCCGUUGGAUAAUGGAUGUUGGCAUUAAAUGUUAGAUUGCAGACGCUUUUGUUUGUCCACGUGUAUAAGUUGAAGAGAUGGCCUUCAUAGCUAUGCUGCAAGCACAAGCGUUGACUAUAGGGGUAGUUUAACUGACGUCUGGUUUCACAUUUAGAUUUGUUUUAGACAAAAUUAGAUGGCUCGGUAAUUGUUGGUGUGUGUGCGUUUUAGUCCCCCCCCCAAUUGGAGACCGUUCACCUUUAAAGCUCUGGUUCUGUAUAUUGGACACAAACGGGUAAGCAUGGUCAGAGACGCAACUGUUCAACUGCAACUCUCCUAAAGUGUGCAUAUGACUUCCUCUUGCCAAUUUUUUUUUUUUUUUAUUUGGUUACAAAUUGGCUGGCUAGUGUUCGGAAUGGUCAGACGCAGUGACAUAUAAAAUGUAAAUUGUAUAAUAUUGUGUAUAUAAUAAACUGAAGUUUUUCUCGGUCA